GUCACAAUCCUUAUUGAUGCUAAAAUACUUUAGCUCUUCAUAUUCUGUUAUACCCUGCUUAAAAAGUUGUCAAAUAACAGAAUUUGUCAUGUACUUGCGGUCAAAAUUAAAUACUUCAAGUGAUGCUGUUGUGAACGGAUUGCAUAUCUAAGUUUUGCUGUCAAAUAAUGGAGUAUUUUAGCAUCAUGUUCAGUUGUUGUUUCCUGAAAUGCUUUAGCUCUUGUUCUCUGAAGCAUGGGGCCUUUCACUCACCAGGAUUGCUCCAUGACACAAACGCACCAUCAGAACAAUAGAUGUCCAGUGGAUGACGGCGGAUCGAGGCAUCAGGCACUUGGAGAUGCUGGUGUGAAUAAGAGCCUACAGGUCUGGAUCAAUCUCGCCUCCAAGGACAAGAGCGAGCCAAUGUAUAAGGAACUGUAGAGCAAGGACCUAAGCCAGGCCUCGAAGGACGGCGUCGGCGUCCGCAUAUUGUCGUUGAGACCUCUGGGGUGGGGUGUAGGGAGAGCGUGUCGACAGCGCAGGGAAAAAAUGUUGCUUCAGGUGGUUUUCAACAUAGGGCAAAAUGAAAUUCUCAGGGGGACGAGGGCCGCCACUCUUGAAGCCACCGCGGAAAGAACAGAGAGGGGAUGCCUCCCCAAUUCACUCCACAUCCAGCAGAUCCACGCCGGUAGAGAGAGGGGCGGGCGGAGGGAUAGUGUG